rnacentral:ncRNA from 2 species
UCGUAGCAUAGCGUUUCCGGCCUUUUUAUAAGUUAAAAGGGAACCCAGUGCAAUUCUGGGGCUGACGCGCAGCGGUAAGGAAUAGUGGGAUGAAUGCCAUGUGCAGACACUGCUUAUAUAAGUGGGAAGUCAUCAUCCGUAAAACACAUCCAAGCCCGAAGACCUGCCGGUAUACGUCGCAAUUU